ensembl:lncRNA
AUAAAAUGUAACUAAUAAAAAAAAAAAAGAAAACGUUUUCUAAUUAAAAUAUUAAUUUGUUUUAUUAUUGUUUUUUUUAUCACCUAAAAAUUGUUAGCGUGUUAGAAAAAAAUGAAUUGUUAUUGUGUUUCAGAUGCACAAUUUAUUUAUUUUUAAAAUGUAAAAACAAUAUAUAACAAUGUUUAAUUUCUGCUGGUACCUUAGAACAAAUUGUUAUAAAAGAAAUAUAUCGCACAUAAUUAAUAAAAGACGGUUUCAUCAAUUUAUUAGUAAACGAGGACUACAAACCGUGGCUAUUAAAAGAAAAGAUAGAAUAAAACGAGAAAGAAAAUUAAAUCUAAGAGAAAAAAUAAAACUUAUUAUUUUUAGCUCUAUUUACUUUUUUGCUUGUGAUUAUAUUUACCACGUAUACAUCUUACAUAAUAAAACAACGGAAAAUGAUAAAAGUGAGAAUGAAAAGAAAAACACAACCUCUCUGUUAAAUUACAUAAAAAGUAUUAUUAUACCUACAAAUAUCCAAUCAAAAAAAAAUGAUGUAAAUAUCAAUAGUACACAACAACAAAAAGAGAAGGAGGGGGAAACAAAAAAUAUAUUUAACGAAAGUGUUGUUAAAAAUAAUUACCGGAAAGAAAAUAAAAGCGACAAUAAUAGACAGUGCGAAAAAAAUGAAAUAAAAAAUUGUAAAACAAAAGAACAAGAUCCUUACGAAAUAAAAAUAAAUCGAAUAACAAAGAAAAAAGAGUUUGAAAAUAGAGGUACGAAGUUUUCAGAAAAAGAUACUAGUCAGAAUAAUCAACUUUUUGGCUAUGAUAUUAACAAAAAAAAUGGAAAUAAAAAAAAUGAAAAUAACGAAGAAAAAAGUUUAAAAACUGUAAUCACAGAUAGUAUUUACAAUAAUCAUUUAUUCAAUUACUGUAAUUUAUUUAUGUAUGCAAAUGGAAUUGUAUUUUUAUGUUGGAGACUUAGUGAUUUAGCUAGAAAUAAAAAAUUUUAUCAUUUUAUGUGCAGACAUUUUAUUUGUUCAUAUGAAAAUAUUAAGAAAAAAUAUUUUCACACAAUUUUGACAGCAGGUAUAAGUCAUAUGACUUUUCCUCAUUUUUUAUUUAAUAUGUGGGCAUUUCAUACUAUAUCUAAUGCAUUAUUAUGUCCAGAAAUUAAACAAGAAAAAACAAAUAAUUAUUAUAACUUUUUUUUUACUUCGAAAUCUAGUAUUGUUGAAAAAAAAAUUAAUGAACUAAGUAUAAUUAAUAUUUGUCUUUUAUCAAGUGCUAUUUCAACAAUUCCUUAUGUUCUUAUUCAUAAAAGAAAUAAAAUCUUAGGUGCUUCUGGGUCAAUUAUGGGACUGGUUUUUAUUUUAUCAACACUUAAACCGAAUGAAACAUUUAUUUCUAUAUUCCCAUUACCUUAUUUAAAAUUAACAGCAUUACAAUUAUGCCAUAUAUCAAUAUUAACUAAUGUACUAUUUCUUUUUUUUAAAAAAAAUCAUUUCAGUGUAGCAUGGUUAGCGCAUUUAUUUGGUUUAGCAGGUGGAGCUAUUUAUAAUGUAUACCAAAGAAAAAAAAACAAUAAUUUUAAUUAUUACCCUUUUAUUCAAUUAUCAGUUAAAAAUGGAUAUAUUGAUUAUCUUAAUUCUUAUUAUGAUUUUUUAGACACUUUAACAUAUUUAAAAUUAAGAACGAAAUUAUUCUUUUCGUUAGAUAUCAAGGACAUGCAAAAAAUUAGUAGUCAAAUACAAAAUACAAAGUUUUUACAAUCUAGAAGACGUUUAAGGCUUCAAUCACUAAAGGUUAAAAAUUUGGAAGCAAUGUCAAAAUGAGUACAUAUAUAUAUAUAUAUAUAUAUAUAUAUAUGUAUACAUAUUUUUAUGUAUACACAAUUGUGUAUAAAAUUUAUAUGUUAUGAUUCAAUGAUAGAUGUUCCAAACUGAAGAACAUUUCACCUGAUUAUAUAUUAAUACUGUUUUAUUUUAUUUUAUUAAUAAAUCAUAAAAAAUAAACA